GAGGAUGGGACAGAGAAGCACGCUGCUGUUUUCAAUUACAAACGUUCCACAAUCAAAGAAAAGAAAACGCGGUUAUAUAAACACAUUCUCGUGCAUGGAAGUCAGCCUAAUCCAUAAACUUAUCACUGAAAAGGAAAGCUCUUGAAUUGAUGAUCUGCAAACUGACUUGAUCAUUCCUUUGGUCUUAAUAUUCUGGUUUACGAGGAAAAAAGGCUUUUAAAAACCUUCUUCAGUGGAUGCCCACAAGAUGAGCAAGAUGAGCAAGAUGAGCAAAAAGUUGCUAGAAGAUGCAACAACAAAACUUGCCCAUUUUACUGCUCGCAAAACACGUCAACUUUCAUCACAUUCACUAAUAAUCAUGAAUUCCAGUUUAAUAUCAAUAAAGAAAAUUUAAUUUAAUUAAAAAUAUCUAGUAUAAAUGUUGAUUUGGCAGAAAUUAAUGCAAAUGUUAUACAGCUUUUAGAAUAUUAUCCAAUUAUUAAAAUAUUACGAUCACAGUUUCUGCUGAAAA